rfam:Oryza glaberrima chromosome 6 Oglab06_0218_11, whole genome shotgun sequence.
AUUAAGUGCAGCCAUAAGUUUCCGUGUCCAACUUUAAUCGUCCGUCUUAUUUAAAAUUUUUUUAUAAUUAGCAUUUUUGUUGUUAUAAGAUGAUAAAACCUGAAUAGUACUUUACUCGUGACUAAUAUUUUUAAUUUUUUUUAAAAAAUUUUCAUAUAAGACGAAUGAUCAAAGUUGGGCGCGGCAAACUAUGGCUGCAGUUAUU